CGCGGUGUGAUCGGCCUUGAAGGCCAGAA
rnacentral:sRNA from 1 species